CCUACGGGAGGCAGCAGUGGGGAAUAUUGGACAAUGGGGGCAACCCUGAUCCAGCCAUGCCGCGUGUGUGAAGAAGGCCCUCGGGUUGUAAAGCACUUUCAGUGAGGAAGAACGCCUGGUGGUUAAUACCCAUCAGGAAAGACAUCACUCACAGAAGAAGCACCGGCUAACUCCGUGCCAGCAGCCGCGGUAAUACGGAGGGUGCGAGCGUUAAUCGGAAUUACUGGGCGUAAAGCGCGCGUAGGUGGCUUGAUAAGCCGGUUGUGAAAGCCCCGGGCUCAACCUGGGAACGGCAUCCGGAACUGUCAAGCUAGAGUGCAGGAGAGGAAGGUAGAAUUCCCGGUGUAGCGGUGAAAUGCGUAGAGAGCGGGAGGAAUACCAGUGGCGAAGGCGGCCUUCUGGACUGACACUGACACUGAGGUGCGAAAGCGUGGGUAGCAAACAGGAUUAGAUACCCUAGUAGUC
rnacentral:rRNA from 1 species